rnacentral:tRNA from 1 species
GCCACCGUAGCUCAAUCGGCAGAGCAGGCGCUUCGUAAGCGUCUGGUUAUCGGUUCAAGUCCGAUCGGUGGCUCCU